GGUGAAACUGAACCCCAGAGGGGAC
rnacentral:piRNA from 1 species